CUCUGAGGAGCCUUCACUGAGACACACACACGCAGGCAGGUCUACCUACAAUGUAAGCAUUGAAAGAAGGAGAAGACAGAGAAGAAUGAUCCACCUAAAGGCAAUGUUUUAACCCACCCGACGGAGCUCUUAAACAUGGAAAUAAUGCUGUGUCUGUUUUGCAACAAACUCAGCUCAGCAGCUGGCAGAGUCCGUGCCAAAGGGACAUGCACAAGCCAUGACAUCAUCAAACCGAGCAGGAGGAAAGGAGUUCACGCAUUCCUAUCAAGACGGGGGGAAGGGGGCAGGAGCCAAAUAUCACCAUUCCUUCCUUCCUUACAAUGGUUCCACAUCUAGUCCCUGCAUACAUUGAGAAAUGUUAACCCCUCUCCCCAAUUCCCCUCAAUUUUCCUCCCAUGAUCCUAUACACUGAUUAUCAGUCUACAUAUAUGCUCAGUGUCAACACUUACCCCUCAAUCUGACAUGAAUUACUUUAAGAAAGUCUAAUGUGAAAGCAGCUGGUUGAUCUUUUGAAGAGAAAAGGGGGACUUAGAUAAAGUAUUUUAGAGCAGUCUAUAUACUGGUCAGUUUCUAAAACUCCAAUGUUUUACAAUGGCAGUCAAAAUGUCCAGGUUUCUGGUUUAUGGACUGCUAUGGCACCUGGAGGGUUGAAUGGCCUCUGCUUACUCAGGGAGCAUUUAAACAGAAACUAAGUUACACCUCUUUACUACCUUCUGGUGGACAGUGACUGCAACAUAAUGAUGUGUCAAGUGAAGGAAACCGGCACAGCCUACAAUAAAAAUUAUUGAUUUACAGCUAGUGUGUAUGGGAACUAUAAACUAAUAAUACAGAAUAUGAAUACUGUAUAGAUUGGGGCGGCAGGUAGCCUCGUGGUUAGAGCGUUGGGCCAAUAACCGAAAGGUUGCUAGAUCAAAUCCCCAAACUGACAAGGUAAAAAUCUGUCGUUCUGCCCCUGAACAAGGCAAUUAACCCACUGUUCCUAGGCUGUAAUUGUAAAUAAGAAUUUGUUCUUAACUGACUUGCCUAGUUAAAUAAAGGUUAAAUAAAUAGAUAAUACAUCAAUUAUUUCCACUUUCAAAUAGCUUAAGGUCAAACACCAUCUGUGUUUGGGUAAAAAUUAUGUAAAUCUGUGGGUUUGUGUUGCAACAUCACAGAGAUGAAAGAUGCUCCAUCAUUUAAGUUAUAGAACGCACCUAACUUGUGAGAUAUUUUGAAAUACUAAGAGGACAAAAUUGCUUACCAUCAAAUGGAGCUGUGCUGUUGUACUUGCUGAGCAUUAUGUGAAACAAACAGGAUGUACGAUUUAUGUUGGAGAUGAAAAAGAUUCCAUCUGUGA